CCUACGGGGAGCAGCAGUGGGGGAUAUUGCACAAUGGGGGAAAACCUGAUGCAGCGACGCCGCGGGUGGGAAGACGGUCUUCUGGAUUGUAAACCACUGUCCCCAGGGACGAAAAUGAAGGUACCUGGGGAGGAAGCUCCGGCUAACUAAGUGCCAGCAGCCGCGGUAAUACGUCGGGAGCAAGCGUUGUCCUGAAUUACUGGGUGUAAAGGGAGCGUAGGCGGGGAUGCAAGUUGGGUGUCAAAACUACCGGCUCAACCGAUAGUCGCACUCAAAACUGCAACUCUGGAGUGAAGGAGAGGCAGGCGGAAUUCCUAGUGUAGCGGUGAAAUGCGUAGAUAUUAGGAGGAACACCAGUGGCGAAGGCGGCCUGCUGGGCUUUUACUGACGCUGAGGCUCGAAAGUGUGGGGAGCAAACAGGAUUAGAUACCCUAGUAGUC
rnacentral:rRNA from 1 species